rnacentral:rRNA from 1 species
UACUCGAGUGGCGAACGGGUGAGUAACACGUGGGUGAUCUGCCCUUCACUUCGGGAUAAGCCUGGGAAACUGGGUCUAAUACUAGAUAGGACCAUCGUUUAGUGUCGGUGGUGGAAAGUUUUUUCGGUGGAGGAUGAGCUCGCGGCCUAUCAGCUUGUUGGUGGGGUAAUGGCCUACCAAGGCGACGACGGGUAGCCGGCCUGAGAGGGUGGACGGCCACAUUGGGACUGAGACACGGCCCAG